AUUGAACGCUGGCGGCAGGCCUAACACAUGCAAGUCGAGCGGGGUUUUCGGACCUAGCGGCGGACGGGUGAGUAAUGCGUAGGAAGCUACCCGAUAGAGGGGGUUACCAGUUGGAAACGACUGUUAAUACCGCAUAAUGUCUACGGACCAAAGUGUGGGACCUUCGGGCCACAUGCUAUCGGAUGCGCCUACGUGGGAUUAGCUAGUUGGUGAGGUAAUGGCUCACCAAGGCGACGAUCUCUAGCUGGUUUGAGAGGAUGAUCAGCCACACUGGAACUGAGACACGGUCCAGACUCCUACGGGAGGCAGCAGUGGGGAAUAUUGGACAAUGGGCGCAAGCCUGAUCCAGCCAUGCCGCGUGUGUGAAGAAGGCCUUCGGUUGGUU
rnacentral:rRNA from 1 species